rnacentral:misc_RNA from 1 species
GUAUCAUUUAGUUCACUCACAAAAGUUUCAGCCCAUUCUUGAGCAGUGUGGGUUGUCACAUGUGUAAAAUUAUGCCGAUGUCGCUUCUCCCUCUCCUCACAUGACAUAGUCAAAGCUUGGCGUAUCGAAUCAGCAACUUCGGUGAUAUUCCAAGGGUUCACAAGGAUCGCUCCAGCACCCAGAGACUGUGCUGCUCCUGCAAACUCACUAAGAAUGAGAACGCCUUUCUUUGAAUCUUGGCAUGCCACAAAUUCAUAACUGACAAGAUUCAUUCCAUCCCUCAAAGAAGUUACAAGUGCAACAUCGGUAACAGCAUACACUGCACACAAGGCAUGAAAGUCAAGAG